GUUAGCUGUCCCAGUCCCUGGACCCGUCCCUGUGUGUUCCUCUGCGUCUGGACAGUGAGUUGAGAAGGAAGAUGCGAGAUGGCAGAGAGAGGGAGGCCCGGCAGGCUCUACUCAUCCACAAACUGCAGAACAAGGUGCUGGAAUACCGGGAUCGCUGUCAGGGUUUGGAAUACCAGGUGAAGACUGAAGAAKGAGAGCUCCUGAAACGCGAGAGGAGGAUCAGGAAUGAGCACAGUGACUCCUUAGAGAGCGCCCUCAUCAGGCUGGAGGAGGAACAGCAGAGGUGGGUGGG